rnacentral:rRNA from 1 species
UACGAAGGGGGCUAGCGUUGCUCGGAAUUACUGGGCGUAAAGCGCACGUAGGCGGCUCUUUAAGUCGGAGGUGAAAUCCUGGAGCUCAACUCCAGAACUGCCUUCGAUACUGAAGAGCUCGAGUCCGGGAGAGGUGAGUGGAACUGCGAGUGUAGAGGUGAAAUUCGUAGAUAUUCGCAAGAACACCAGUGGCGAAGGCGGCUCACUGGCCCGGUACUGACGCUGAGGUGCGAAAGCGUGGGGAGCAACAGG